rnacentral:miRNA from 1 species
AAUCUUCCGUCGGGAUUUA